rnacentral:tRNA from 1 species
GCGGGGGUACCCGAGCCAGGUCUAAUUAGAGGGUUAGAACCCUCCUAGGAUAGGGGGGAGGACUUAAGAUCCUCUGGCGUAGGCCUCCGCGGGUUCAAAUCCCGCCCCCCGCACCA